GUAAGGAAUAUUGGACAAUGGCCGAAAGGCUGAUCCAGCCAUCCAGCGUGCAGGAAGAAGGCCCUAUGGGUUGUAAACUGCUUUUAUCAGGGAAUAAACCUCUGGAUUCACUCCGGAGCUGAAGGUACCUGAAGAAUAAGCACCGGCUAACUCCGUGCCAGCAGCCGCGGUAAUACGGAGGGUGCGAGCGUUAUCCGGAAUUACUGGGUUUAAAGGGUGCGUAGGCGGCUUUGUAAGUCAGGAGUGAAAGUUUGCAGCUCAACUGUAAAAUUGCUUUUGAUACUGCGAGGCUAGAAUUAGGAUGAGGUCAGCGGAAUGUGGCAUGUAGCGGUGAAAUGCAUAGAUAUGCCAUAGAACACCAAUUGCGAAGGCAGCUGGCUAGACCUGGAUUGACGCUGAGGCACGAAAGCGUGGGGAGCGAACAGGAUUAGAUACCCCAGUAGUCC
rnacentral:rRNA from 1 species